rnacentral:rRNA from 1 species
AUUGAACGCUGGCGCAUGCCCUACACAUGCCAGUCGAACGGCAGCACGGGUGCUUGCACCUGGUGGCGAGUGGCGAACGGGUGAGUAAUACAUCGGAACAUGUCCUGUAGUGGGGGAUAGCCCGGCGAAAGCCGGAUUAAUACCGCAUACCAUCUACGGAUGAAAGCGGGGGACCUUCGGGCCUCGCGCUAUAGGGUUGGCCGAUGGCCGAUUAGCUAGUUGGUGGGGUAAAGGCCUACCAAGGCGACGAUCAGUAGCUGGUCUGAGAGGACGACCAGCCACACUGGGACUGAGACACGGCCCAGACUCCUACGGGAGGCAGCAGUGGGGAAUUUUGGACAAUGGGCGAAAGCCUGAUCCAGCAAUGCCGCGUGUGUGAAGAAGGCCUUCGGGUUGUAAAGCACUUUUGUCCGGAAAGAAAUCCUUGGCCCUAAUACGGUCGGGGGAUGACGGUACCGGAAGAAUAAGCACCGGCUAACUACGUG